rnacentral:rRNA from 1 species
GAUGAACGCUGGCGGUAUGCUUAACACAUGCAAGUCGAACGGGGUGCAUAGUCACCUAGUGGCGGACGGGUGAGUAACGCGUGAGAAUCUGGCCUCAGGUCCGGGACAACCACGGGAAACGGUGGCUAAUACCGGAUGUGCCAUAUUGGUGAAAGAUUAACUGCCUGAGGAUGAGCUCGCGUCUGAUUAGCUAGUUGGUGGGGUAAAGGCUUACCAAGGCGACGAUCAGUAACUGGUCUGAGAGGAUGACCAGUCACACUGGGACUGAGACACGGCCCAGACUCCUACGGGAGGCAGCAGUGGGGAAUUUUCCGCAAUGGGCGAAAGCCUGACGGAGCAAUACCGCGUGAGGGAGGAAGGCUCUUGGGUUGUAAACCUCUUUUCUCAGGGAAGAAGAAUUACGGUACCUGAGGAAUCAGCAUCGGCUAACUCCGUG